UUCUAGACUUGCUACGCAUGGCGGGCUCCCUGCACUUUUGUGCGGCCAACCGACAUGGGGCUGUCUCUUCACUCUCCCUCCCGUCAGCACAUUUGUGUCGGGUAGGGAUGCUCGUUAUCGGUUGCCUGUAUGGUUCUACCUAUUCUUGGGUAGCGAAGUAGUCCCUUGAAGGUGUUUUGCUUGCCCUAAUGACAUUGUAUUGUCUUUAGGGUAGCCGAAAUGUCGGUGAAAUCCUUGUGUUCUUGUGGGUGAAUACUAUYYGYCACUUGGAUGUUUGUCGGCUCUCACGGAUGCUGUGCCCAUUGUUAGGUCUGUAGGCCUUGGUCCCUCAGACUUCGGGAGGCCUCGUGUAUGUAGCAUUGCUCCAGCGCUCGACUGUUAUGUCGUGGAUUUCGACAUGUCAGAUCGGUGCGUGUGGGGCGUGCUUAUGUGCAUGAGGAACGCCUCUUCGAAUGAAUAAAGCAGCGAUUGUCGGUUUGCGUCAUGAGAAGGGCCUCCCGUCUGGGUUGGUGCCGGACAUGACGUGCUGACUCUCGUUUAAGACGUGC
rnacentral:misc_RNA from 1 species